GGGCGGGUCACUGUGGGGUUGGGCAGGGCCGCGCCGCAGUGCCGCCUCCGUCGGCCGCGGCCUCUGCGCGCCAAAGUUAAACCUCGGGUCCCGCCGGCGCGCGAGCUUCCGAGGGGCAGGUCCGGGCGAGUUCCGCGGCGCGAGUCCGCGCGCGCCUGUGCUCUGCUCCCAGCCCGCGCGGCGCGACGUGGGACGAGGAAUGGCCACCCCGCCCAAGAGAAUCUGCCCGUCUCCCGCGACCAGCUCGGAGGGGACCCGCAUCAAGAAAGUCUCCAUCGAGGGGAACAUCGCUGCAGGAAAGUCAACAUUUGUGAACAUCCUUAAAAAAGGCUGUGAGGAUUGGAAAGUGGUUCCUGAACCUGUUGCCAGAUGGUGCAAUGUUCAGAGUACACAAGAUGAAUUUGAGGAACUGACAACGUCCCAGAAAAGUGGUGGGAAUGUUCUUCAAAUGAUGUAUGAGAAACCCGAACGAUGGUCUUUUACCUUCCAAUCAUAUGCCUGUCUCAGUCGGAUACGAGCUCAGCUUGCCUCUCUCAAUGGCAAGCUCAAAGAUGCAGAGGAACCUGUGUUAUUUUUUGAACGAUCUGUGUAUAGUGACAGGUAUAUUUUUGCAUCUAAUUUGUAUGAAUCUGACUGCAUGAAUGAAACAGAGUGGACAGUAUAUCAAGACUGGCAUGACUGGAUGAAUAAUCAAUUUGGCCAAAGCCUUGAAUUAGAUGGAAUCAUUUAUCUUCGAGCUUCUCCAGAGAAAUGCCUAAGUAGAAUAUAUUUACGAGGAAGAAAUGAAGAGCAAGGGAUUCCUCUUGAAUAUUUAGAGAAACUUCACUAUAAACAUGAAAGCUGGCUCCUGCAUAGAACUCUGAAAACCAAUUUUGAUUAUCUACAAGAAGUACCGGUCUUAACAUUGGAUGUUAAUGAAGACUUUAAAGACAAACAUGAAAGUCUGGUUGGAAAGGCUGGCCCUGGAAUUGAGAUCCUUCUCCCUCAAGUGCUGGUUUACAGACGUGCUCCACCUUGUCUAACUCCGGGACUUGUGUGUUUUAUUUAUUAUUAUUAUUAUUCACGAGAUGGUCUCAGGCUGGCUUCAAACUCCUGGGCUGAGUGGGUCCUCCUGCCUCAGCCUCCCAAGAAGCUGGGACUACAGGUGCACACCACCAUGCCUGACUUUGCAGAACUUUCGCCUUUGCAAAGGACUUGUAAUUCAAGAAGGUUUACGACAUCAGUGCUGAAGAAACAUAUCGCCACAGACAAUUUGAAGGACUUUUGACUUGAUGUUCCACAAAUAUACAAGACUCAUCAAAACUCAGCACAUCUGACGAGAUAAGGAUCCAAGUAGUAGACCUAUACCAAGAGGAGAAUAGGCUGAGACUUAAGGUUACACCAGCAAGAGUUCCCAGAUGGAAAGAAAGGACUGCCUUUUUCAAUGAGGCAGAGGAAAUUUAACUUCAUCUUUUGUUUUUCAUUGCAACCAAGAAAGAACAGAAGAUCAAAGGAAAUUAGUAAAGAUACUGUGACUAGGAGAACAGAGAAUGGGGCUCAAGGAUACCCACACUUGUUUUAUAACUUCUGGCUAUAAACCUGAGCACCGAUGCUUGACCUAUUGGUUAUGAGGCAGACAUGAAGAAGCUGGGAAGACGGUUUUGGUGAAUUCAGAGAUUUAAAUUUUGUCAAGACACAGUACUUCAUUGGAUAUGGGAUGGACAUCUUUGGAAAUGUGUCACAGGAAUAAGAUGAAUCUCCAUACUAUUGUCCACAAUGACCGCACCAAUCUACAAGACUCACAACAGCAGACAAGGCUUUCCUUUUCUUCACACC